AUUGAACGCUGGCGGCAUGCCUUACACAUGCAAGUCGAACGGCAGCACGGGUGCUUGCCCCUGGUGGCGAGUGGCGAACGGGUGAGUAAUACAUCGGAACAUGUCCUGUAGUGGGGGAUAGCCCGGCGAAAGCCGGAUUAAUACCGCAUACGAUCUACGGAUGAAAGCGGGGGACCUUCGGGCCUCGCGCUAUAGGGUUGGCCGAUGGCUGAUUAGCUAGUUGGUGGGGUAAAGGCCUACCAAGGCGACGAUCAGUAGCUGGUCUGAGAGGACGACCAGCCACACUGGGACUGAGACACGGCCCAGACUCCUACGGGAGGCAGCAGUGGGGAAUUUUGGACAAUGGCCGAAAGCCUGAUCCAGCAAUGCCGCGUGUGUGAAGAAGGCCUUCGGGUUGUAAAGCACUUUUGUCCGGAAAGAAAUCCUUGGCCCUAAUACGGUCGGGGGAUGACGGUACCGGAAGAAUAAGCACCGGCUAACUACGUG
rnacentral:rRNA from 1 species